AUCAGCUGUUGCCUCUCUCUUU
rnacentral:miRNA from 1 species